ACAGGAGGCAGGAAGAGGAGCCAGGACUGCCCCUACAUGGUGCCUGACCCCUCACUGUGGGGUGAGAAACAGGAUUGUCUGAGCAGGUGCGGGUCCUGUCAGGGAAAGGUCCUCUUUCCUGGGCAACUGUGGGGACAGUGAAAUGGUAAAGUGUGCCACCACAGCGACUGAGAGAACAGCAGUGUGGCAGAAAGAAUGACGACACUGGCGCAGACAAGUGGUUUGUCUCCUCAGCCAGAGGUCUAUCAGGGGCUGCCUUCCCUUAGAAGAGGGGCAGGGGCUCGGCCUCCACGGGCGCCCCUUCCCACUUUCCUCCAGCCCACGGCCCCUGAAGGUGAAAGCAGCCCCCCAGCCACCCGCGCCCAAGAAGGAUGGCCAGCGUGAUGGGGGAAGGGAGGGGGUGGACACCAAACACUCUGCAGGUUCACACACAAACACACACACACUGCGGGGCGGCCUGUAUCCAUCCGCUGCUCCCUGCAGUGCGACCCCUCGCGACCCUCCCAGCCCCGGCCCACGACCCCACUACGCUGCAGGGCCAGAAGCGUGGGGCUGCGGGGGGGUGGUCACCCCACGGGGGGCAGCGGAGGGCUGGCGUGGCUCCGCCCCUCAGCCUGGCGUUCUUCCCGGCCCCGCCCACUCUGGGUCGGAACUACGGUGGGCCAGCGAGGGGGCGUCGAGCCCAUUCGUGCCGUAUCUCUCCGCCCCCCUUGCUAAUACUCUCUGCGAGCAGUCGGUACCGCAACUUGUGCAGCCCCUGCGGGGUUUGGCGCGGGGAGAGGGAGCCCUCUUUGCCAUUCUGCCCACACGGCGAGCUGUGGGAACUGAGAGAGGAGCUGCGACCGGAGUGGGGAGGCCGACCACUGGAACCUUGCGCCUGCGAAGGUUUGUUCUUUUCAGAGUCCUGUAGAAAUCUGCAGGUAGCUGUUCUCUUUGAAUUUGAUUAGGAAAGAAGACGAAAGCUAUUCAUUUGAAUCCAAGGUCCACCUGUGAGUUGGCUAUAGGGCUUGUCAACACCAGAAACAAGAGAAGAGGAGAAAAGUCCACCAUAUCAGUGCAGGUUGGUGUGAGGCAUACCAGGAUAGACCUGUGGAGUAUAGUGGUAUAUUCCAAAGGGGCUGUA
rnacentral:lncRNA from 1 species